rnacentral:rRNA from 1 species
UCAAGCUAAUAAGGGCGUUCGGUGGAUGCCUUGGCGCUAAGAGCCGAAGAAGGACGCGGUAAGCUGCGAAAAGCUACGACGAGCUGCAAGCAAGCGACGACUCGUAGAUAUCCGAAUGGGAAAACCCCACUGGAGUAAUAUCCAGUGAUCCUAUAGCCAAUACAUAACUAUAGGAAGGCAACCUGGGGAACUGAAACAUCUAAGUACCCAGAGGAAGAGAAAGAAAACUCGAUUCCCCCAGUAGCGGCGAGCGAAAAGGGAAGAGCCCAAACCAACACUCAGGUGUUGGGGUUGAAGGACCUCCAUGACGGAAUCGAGCCAUAGCCGAAGGACUUGGGAAAGUCCAUCACAGAAGGUAAAAAUCCUGUAGGCGAAAUGGCGAAAGACCAGGAGGGAUCCUGAGUACCACGAGGCACGUGAAAUCUCGUGGGAAGCAGGGGGGACCACCCCCCAAGGCUAAAUACUCCUUAGCGACCGAUAGAGAACAAGUACCGUGAGGGAAAGGUGAAAAGAACCCCGGAAGGGGAGUGAAAAAGAACCUGAAACCGAGCGCUUACAAGCUGUCACAGCACCAUACGAGUGUAGUGGCGUACUUUUUGUAGAACGGACCGGCGAGUUGCGUUAUCAAGCGAGGUUAAGUAGAGAAUACGGAGCCGAAGCGAAAGCGAGUCUUAAGAGGGCGAAAGUUUGAUGACGCAGACCCGAAACCGGGUGAUCUACCCAUGAGCAGGAUGAAGCGUUAGUAAAAUAACGUGGAGGUCCGAACCAGGUAACGUUGAAAAGUUAUUGGAUGACUUGUGGGUAGGGGUGAAAUUCCAAUCGAACCCGGAGAUAGCUGGUUCUCCUCGAAAUAGCUUUAGGGCUAGCCUUAAUGGAAGUUAAUGGAGGUAGAGCACUGAAUUGGCUAGGGGGCCUCACCGCUUACUGAACCAUAUCAAACUGCGAAUGCCAAUAACUGCUCAUUAGGAGUCAGACUGUGGGGGAUAAGCUUCAUGGUCAAAAGGGAAACAGCCCAGACCGCCAGCUAAGGUCCCCAAGUGGAUGUUAAGUGGAAAAGGAUGUGAAAUCGCUCAGACAACCAGGAUGUUGGCUCAGAAGCAGCCACCAUUUAAAGAGUGCGUAAUAGCUCACUGGUCCAGGGGUUUUGCGCCGAAAAUGUAACGGGGCUCAAACAUGCCACCGAAGCUGCGGGAUUAUAUAGAGAUAUAUAAUCGGUAGAGGAGCGUUCUUAACACGACGAAGGUAUACUGAAAAGAGUGCUGGAGAGUUAAGAAGUGAGAAUGCCGGUAUAAGUAUGCGAAAAGGCAGGUGAGAAUCCUGCCCGCCGAAAAUCUAAGGAUUCCUGGGGAAGGCUCGUCCGCCCAGGGUAAGUCGGGACCUAAGGCGAGGCCGAAAGGCGUAGUCGAUGGAAAACUGGUAGAGAAUCCAGUACCACCAAAUGUCGAUUGAGUGAAGUAGUGACGCAGAAAGAUAGGGAGAGCGCCCAGAUGGUGAGGCGUUUAAGUAAGUAGGAGGUUAUGUAGGCAAAUCCGCAUAACAAAAACUCUGAGAUACGAAUACGAGUGAAAACUAGUAACGAAGUCCCCGAUUCUCCGCUGCCAAGAAAAGCUGCUAGCGAGACAUGAGGUGCCCGUACCGCAAACCGACACAGGUAGAUGGGGUGAGAAACCUAAGGCGCGCGAGAAAACUCUUGUUAAGGAACUCGGCAAAAUGAACCCGUAACUUAGGGAGAAGGGUUGCUCUCCGAUGUGAGUACCCGAGCGGUACAGAGCAAUAGAGAGUCGCAGAGAAAAGGUCCAGGCGACUGUUUAGCAAAAACACAGGUCAUUGCAAAAUCGGAAGAUGAAGUAUAAUGGCUGACGCCUGCCCGGUGCUGGAAGGUUAAGGGGAAAUGUGAGAGCAUAGAACCGAAGCCCCAGUAAACGGCGGCCGUAACUAUAACGGUCCUAAGGUAGCGAAAUUCCUUGUCGGGUAAGUUCCGACCCGCACGAAAGGCGUAACGA